GUCCGCCGCAUCUUGGAAGGAAACUUCAAAGCUCAUUUAAAGUCAGCCUCUCACAUAGCCCUGCUGGUCUAACUUUCUUCUGAAUGUGAUUUCAGAAGUAAAACCAGGCCAGGGGCUGGGACUCAGGUGAGUCUCACUGACCGUGACCUCUGGAGAGUCAACUGAAAUGGGCAAUCAGCGAGACUCCGUGGGCAUAGGACCCUCUGAGCCAGGUGCGGGAUAUAAUCUCGUGGUGCACCGUUUUUUAAGCCAGUCUGAAAAGCGCAAUAUUCGGGUGGGAGUGACCCGAUUUUCCAGGAGAGACAAAUACCAAGGAGAUAUCAGGAAGAAUAUUGUCCCCAGUAAAUACCAAGUCACAUCAGGAAGAAUAUUGUGGAGAGAGAGGUAAAGAAUCAGGAUGGAAACAGAAAAUAGGCCGAACAAUGGCCAAGCGUCAAAAUCCUACGUCAGGACAGUGCUAGGACUGCUUUUUUCUAUAUCAGACACGUGGGCUCCUGCUGUGUCUUCCUGGAAAGCAGAGGCCAAGGAUGGAGCAGACCAAGAGGAUGCCAGGAAAAAUCACAAAGAAGCCCAGAAAGCACAGCUGGAAGCCAAGAACCCUAUUUUUGGUUUGUGUGGGUGGAAGGUGAGGGACAACAUAUAGUGACCAACAGGAUUCUUCAUUUGAAAGAGAAUGGAGUACAUCAGACCUGUGUAUUUAGGUGAAGUAUGAUAAACAUCAUCAUACUUCAAAGAUUAUGAACAUCAAAGAUUAUGGAAAGGAACAUGACUGCUUAGUUUAUUCCAUUACCAGUGAUCUGCUUGUUUGUUCAUUUGCUUACCCAUCCAUUCAUUUAUUCAUUCAUUCCUCCAUCCAUUCUCUUUCACUUAUUCUACAAUCAUGAUUGUAUGCC
rnacentral:lncRNA from 10 species